rnacentral:rRNA from 1 species
UACGUAGGGGGCAAGCGUUGUCCGGAAUUAUUGGGCGUAAAGAGCUCGUAGGCGGUUUGUCGCGUCUGCUGUGAAAACUCGGGGCUUAACUCCGGGCCUGCAGUGGGUACGGGCAGACUAGAGUGCGGUAGGGGAGACUGGAAUUCCUGGUGUAGCGGUGAAAUGCGCAGAUAAUCAGGAGGAACACCGGUGGCGAAGGCGGGUCUCGUGGGCCGUAACUGACGCUGAGGAGCGAAAGCGUGGGGAGCGAACAGG